rnacentral:sRNA from 1 species
AAUGCGACAAGUCCCCGAUCCAGGCGUCCCGCUCUCCCCGGCCCCGCUCGCCAGGUCCUACCACGAUGCCUGACUCGUUUGCGGCUUUGGGACCGGUUGUAGGUGGCUUGACCGUCACUAGUAGACGUUUCUGAUUGUGUCGCGGUCACCAUGGUAACGACUUUAGCUUCCCUUCCGCCCUUGCGGUGACGUCACUGGCGGAGGCCGGACUGGGGGGAGGUUCCCUGCUCAAGCUCUCUUCUCUUGUCUGCCGCCAUGUGAGACGUGCCUUUGACCUUCUGCCAUGAUUGUGAGGCCUCCCCAGCCACGUGAAACUGGUCAUGAAAGACAAAGAUUGAGGAGGUUCAAUCACACAUUCUAAGGACAAAUCACAAGACCAAAGGAGAUGGGAUAACAAAAUGCAACAUGGUUGAGCAAGAGCUGGAUUUUAUGAAAAAAACAAAAAAAAAACAAAAAAAAACAAAAAAGACUUAAUCGAAAAUGCAAGGUGGGAUCCUGGAUUGGAUCCUCAAAUAGAAUAGUUUUUCUAUUAGUAGAAACAUUAGUAAAAUUUGAAUGAGGUCUGUAAUUUCUUUAAUAGUUUUGUUCUGGUGUUGGAUCUUGCUUUUAGUCAUUGUGCUAUGGUUAGGUAAGAUGUUAACAGCUGAGAUAACUGGGUGAAGAAUAUUCAGAAACUUAAUUUUUAUGACUUUU